rnacentral:rRNA from 1 species
UACGUAGGGGGCGAGCGUUGUCCGGAUUUAUUGGGCGUAAAGAGCUCGUAGGCGGUUCGGCAAGUCAGCUGUGAAAUCUCCACGCUCAACGUGGAGGGGUCAGCUGAUACUGCUGUGACUCGAGUCCGGUGAGGGGAGUGUGGAAUUCCCGGUGUAGCGGUGAAAUGCGCAGAUAUCGGGAGGAACACCAGUAGCGAAGGCAGCUCGCUGGGACGGUACUGAUGCUGAGGCGCGAAAGCGUGGGGAGCGAACGAG